rnacentral:lncRNA from 1 species
AUAACCACAUAAUCAGUAGAAGCAUUUUAUUACAUUAGCACUGAUAUAUUCAACAACAGUCUUCAUGGCAAAAAUGUGUGUGUGUUUAGAAAUAGGAUGUAAUUUUGAAAUUCACAACAUUGAAUGAAUACAGCUGUAUACUAAUUUUAGUUAAUAUACACCCUAUAUUUCAUAAAAAUUUUAAAGGAUUUUUAACUUUAAAAAAAACCUCCUCCAUUUAAUUUGAGAAGAGAUUUUUUCAUACCAGAAAACUCAUUUUUAGUGGAAGUAACAGUGCAGUUACUUUGGUGCAAGUAACUGAUGAAUCGCCUAUGCUGAGACCAUAUCUGAUCAUUUCUGCUCAGAGUGGACUCUGUUAUGAUUAACUCUUUGCAAACUAAAUAUCCAUAUACAUUCACUACAAAGAUUUCACAGGUAGAGUGUACAUAUUAGUGUGAAGCAAGUUUCAAUCUCUUCCUCAGGGAUAACUCAAUUUCUAAUUCUGAAAGUAAAAGCCUGAGAAAGAUUGAGGUCAAUUGUCCAAACCAGAAAACAAUUAUUUAUCUCAGUCC